rnacentral:rRNA from 1 species
GACGAACGCUGGCGGCGUGCUUAACACAUGCAAGUCGAACGGAAAGGCCCUGCUUUUGUGGGGUGCUCGAGUGGCGAACGGGUGAGUAACACGUGAGUAACCUGCCCUUGACUUUGGGAUAACUUCAGGAAACUGGGGCUAAUACCGGAUAGGAGCUCCUGCUGCAUGGUGGGGGUUGGAAAGUUUCGGCGGUUGGGGAUGGACUCGCGGCUUAUCAGCUUGUUGGUGGGGUAGUGGCUUACCAAGGCUUUGACGGGUAGCCGGCCUGAGAGGGUGACCGGCCACAUUGGGACUGGGAUACGGCCCAGACUCCUACGGGAGGCAGCGGUGGGGAAUAUUGCACAAUGGGCGGAAGCCGGAUGCAGCAACGCCGCGUGCGGGAUGACGGCCUUCGGGUUGUAAACCGCUUUCGCCUGUGACGAAGCGUGAGUGACGGUAAUGGGUAAAGAAGCACCGGCUAACUACGU